GGCAGAAGGAAUAUAAUCCCAGAGGGAAACAUGGUAACGCAGGGAGGACUGUAGAGGAACGGAAAAGGGAAAUGUGGGUAAAACAGAAUGAAUAUUGACUGUUUAAAACAACAGUAAUAAUGUUUCGUGGGAUUAAAAGUAUGCCGAAAUAAAACACAUGACAACAAUAACAAUAGCCCCAACAGGGAAAUUGGCUUACAUGCUGUGAGGUUGUCUCAUUGUCCAGGAAGUACUAACGGUAUUAAUUUAUAGUUGAUUCUAGUAAGUCAGGGACAUGUUUGUAAUCUCUCUGGCAACCAUAGAAAGAAUAAUUAAAGAAUGUAUAAUCAAGCAGCUAAUACAGAGAGGGAAAGGGAAUCAUUUUUAAAAUAUUAAAUUAAUGUAAGAAAGUACAGAAGACAAGAAUGGAGAAAAAGAGCAAUAAAAAACAGAUGUGACAAAGAGUGAACAGAGAGGAAGAUGAUAGAAACUCAGAUAGGAGCCAAGGUGGGCCUCCUGUUCGCUAGCCGGGGGAAGAAAUGUGGCAUCCUGGAGCAGGUGUGCAGAGGGAGCAGAGAAGAUGCCUUGGGCCUUCAGACGCACAUGUACUUCCCGCCUGCUCCAGGGGCUGUAACAUCCUUGCAGAGGCUGCGGCUUAUGACCUAUCACCACCUCCAAGAUCAGCCUGGAAACUUUUCCACAGGGAAAGAAUCACAUGUGAAAUGCUGGCAUUGCAAAUACCAAUAAGUUUAAGUAAAGCUCACUUUUAGAUUAACCAGAUGACCAUAAACUUUUGAAUUCUUAGUCUCUUUGAAACUCCACAAGAUCCAAGCACAAAAACAUUAGACUUCAGUACAAGAUGUAAUAAGAAAUGACAACUUCAGAGGACCAGCCAAAAGGCUGGAAGGAAAGGAGACACAAAGAUGGGUGUGAAGUAACAGAUUCUUUUUUUUUUUUAAAGAUUGGCACCUGAGCUAACAACUUGCCAAUCCUUUUUUUUUUUGCUUUUUCUCCCCAAAUCCCCCCAGUAGAUAGUUGUAUACUUUUAGUUGUGGGUCCUUCUAGUUGUGGCAUGUGGGAUGCCACCUCAACAUGGCCUGAUGAGUGGUGCCUUGUCCGCGCUCAGGAUCCAAACCAGCGAAACCCCGGGCUGCCGAAGCAGAGUGUGCGAACUUAACCACUUGGCCACGGGGCCGACCCCAACAGAUUCUUUAUCAAGGGUGAUUUUGUUAAGCUCCAACAAUGGGUAGCUUCUAUUAGAAUCAAAUUCAAUAUCCCAGAUUGAUUUUGUUAAUCACUCCAAUUCUUCACCUUUCCCUGCAUCCACACAAUUUGCAGCUUCCCGAUUGUCACCUCUGGUGUGAAGCCCCGUACCUAGACUCUUAAAAAAAUCAGCUCUAUUGAGUUAUAACUUAUAUACAACAAAAUUCACCCAUUUUUAAAUGUAUAGUUUGAUGAGGGUGAUAGAUGUACAGUUGUUUAACCACCACCACAAUCAAGAUGAAGAACAUUUGCAUCUCUCAUAAGGGACUCUUACACGCCUGCGCAUCUCAUUUCACCAUUUCCAGCCCCAGGCAAUGACUAAUCUGGUUUCUGUUGCGUAGCUUUUCUUUUCUAGAAUUUCAUACACGUCCAAUCAUACAGCAUGUAGUCUUCCACAUCUGACUUCUUUUGCUUACCAUAAUGCUUUUGAGUUUUACCAUAUUGUUGCAUGAAUGAGUUCAUUUCUUUUUGUUGCUGAGAAGUAUUCAAUUGUUACGAAAUACUGAAAUUUGUUUAUCCAUUCACCAGUGAAUAGAUAUUUGGAUUGUUUUCAGCUUUUGGCUACUGUAAAUGAAGUUGCUAUGAACAUUCAUGUACAUAUCUUUGCGCAGACAUGUUUUUAUUUUUCUUGCGUAAAUAUCUAAGGACUGAAUUUCUGUGUCAUAUGAUAAGCAUGCAAUUUUAUAAAAAACUGACAAACUAUUUUCCGAAGGACCGUACCAUUUCACAUUUCCCAUCAGUAAUGGAAGAGAGUUCCAUUUGCUCCACAUUCUCACCAGCGUGUGGUAUUACAAGUGUUUUUAAUUUUGGUCAUUCUAGUGCACGUGUAGCAAUACCUCAUUGUGUUUAAUUUGCAUUUCCCUAAUGAUGAAUGAUGUUGAGCAUUUUUUUAUCUCCUUAAUUAUCAUUUAUACAUUUUCUUUGGCAAACUGUCUGUUCAAAUCUUUUGCCCAUUUGUUUCUCAUUUAUUACUGAGUUGUAAGAGUUCUUUAUAUAUUCUGGCUAUAAGUCCUUUAUAAUAUACAUGUUUUACAAAUGUUUUCUCCAAGUCUUGGCUUGCCUUGUCAUUUUCUUGACAGCGUUUUUUGAAGGACAAAAGUUUUAUAGUUUUGAAGAAGUCCAGUUUAUCAAUUUUUAUCUUUCAAGAUUUGUACUUUUUGUAUUCUAAGAAAUCUUUGCCUAACUCAUUUCAAUUUUUUGAAAUAUAUUUUCUUCUAGAAGUUUUAUAGUUUAGCUCUUACAUUUGGGCCUAUUAUCCAUUUAAAAUAAAUUUUGUAUAUGGUAUGAGAUAAGGGUCA
rnacentral:lncRNA from 1 species